rnacentral:rRNA from 1 species
UACGUAGGGGGCUAGCGUUGUCCGGAAUCAUUGGGCGUAAAGAGCGUGUAGGCGGUCCGGUAAGUCCGUUGUGAAAGUCAGGGGCUCAACCCUUGAAUGCCGGCGGAUACUGUCGGGCUAGAGUCCGGAAGAGGAGAGUGGAAUUCCCGGUGUAGUGGUGAUAUGCGUAGAUAUCGGGAGGAACACCUGUGGCGAAGGCGGCUUUCUGGGCCUUACCUGACGCUGAGACGCGAAAGCGUGGGGAGCGAACCGG